AGCUUUGCGCAGUGGCGAUAUCGUAACCAAUGAGGUACAACCGAGGUGCGAUUAUUACUAGUUGAAAACUAAUUAAAUAAAUAUAAAGAGGCUAACACUCCUUCAAACUACACCAUUAAAUAUUGGCUAUUUCGUGGUAACCGAAA